GGAUGUGCCCGCCUCGAGGCUUGUCCGAUUUGCACGGUGACUUGAUUACACGCUCGCAUUCACGGUCACUUCCGAAGCGCUUUAGUGUCUUCCGUCCCUAAACCGCCAAGAACCAAGGCGGCUUCCCCCGCGGUUUGUCAAUGAUUCGCGGGGUCCGGAAGGUCCUUCGUCUUACCCGGGAUCCAC
ensembl:misc_RNA